AACUUUUAACAAUGGAUCUCUUGGUUCUGGCAUCGAUGAAGAACGCAGCGAAAUGCGAUAAGUAAUGUGAAUUGCUGAAUUCAGUGAAUCAUCGAAUCUUUGAACGCACAUUGCGCCCUUUGGCAUUCCGAAGGGCAUGCCCGUUCGAGCGUCAUUAAACCCAAUCAAGCCUGGCUUGGUCUUGGGCGGUAGGGAGAAACCCCUCCGCCUCAAUUUCACCGGCUGGCCGUCGCCCGUCUUAGCGUUGCAACACUUGAAUCGCUCGCUAACGACGCUCGCGUAAGAGUCAUGCUGUAAGGAUCUCCUCAAGAGACAUCGGGAUUUCAAUCGAAAUUCGAACAAGGUUGACCUCGGAUCGGGUAGGAAUACCCGCUGAACUUAAGCAUAUCAAUAAGCGGAGGCU
rnacentral:misc_RNA from 1 species